CUGAGAGUUAAUUAUUAUGAGACGAAACUGUUUAAAAAGUAUGAGGCACAGCUAUAUAUUUAUCGGUGUGAAAAAAACCUAGAAUUACCCCAAUUUAAAGAAUUAAAUAUUAAAAUAUUGGUGGUAAGAAUAUGAAUAUUCAGAGCAGGUCACACGUGUCCCCUUCUUGGAAGAGAUAUUAACCACUGUGGACCAGUGAUCAAGACUGACACUGAGUCAACAACAGGCCGAGAAGAUGCUAUGUGCAUGUAUACCGUAAACCUCCGAAUAUA